UUUGCUCACACUCUAACCUGUUCAAAGGCGAAUCCUAACGACGUCAGCAAGCUGUCGUCACCAGGAUACCAAAGAGAAGCCAGGUGGAACAGCCCUAAAGGUAUUCGUUGCAAUCCUCAAUCCCGAUCACCACAUUCCGCUAAAGGUUAUAACACUCCCGAAGGAGCCACAUCCCUCCAGCCUUUUUAUGACGUUCGAAAUUGAUGUUAACCAGCGGACACGAAAGUGCUCCCCCUCAUCGUGAGACACAUGCUGUGGCGGUUUUGAGGCUCGCCACAACAUGGGUCUC
rnacentral:rRNA from 1 species